GGCUCUGUGGUGUAGUGGUAGCAUACUUGCUUUGGGUUAUCCAUUCAGGUGCUUGCAAGUGGUCCCAGGUUCGAGCCCUGGCUGAGCCC